UCACUGUUCAGCGUUGAAGCAUCAGGAC
rnacentral:piRNA from 1 species